rnacentral:lncRNA from 1 species
UUUCCACAGUUUAUUACAAAUCCAUUGAACAGUCUGGAAUGUAUGGAGUUAGAGAGAAAGAUCAGGAAAAAUGGUUGACUAGCAAAAACUAAGGGUAAGUAUAAUCUUAAUUUAUUGUCACCCUGAAGCUGUCACUUCCUCUGCUGUUUGGGUUUCUGAGGGGCUUUCAUCUUCUUCCUGAAAUUUUUCUUUUUCUUGAUGAUACUUUUCACAUUUCUGUUAUGCAGCUAGUCAUCUCGCUCAGUUUCCCACUUGAGCUGUUUGAAACUUGCAUUAUCUCUGUUAGCUAUGGCAUUCAUGCCAAUAGUAUCAAACUUGGAGCCCAUAUUCUCAUCCAGCAGAUGGCCAAACUCCUCAGCAGAGACAAACAGGCUGGAGUCAUUGAAACUUUUCUUCUUUUUCGA